UGUGUAGGCGGUUCUUUAAGUUUGGUGUGAAAUCUCCCGGCUCAACCGGGGGGGUGCGCCGAAUACUGAGGGACUAGAGUACGGGAGAGGAAAGUGGAAUUCCUGGUGUAGCGGUGAAAUGCGUAGAUAUCAGGAGGAACACCGGUGGUGUAGACGGCUUUCUGGACCGUAACUGACGCUGAGACACGAAAGCGUGGGUAGCAAACA
rnacentral:rRNA from 1 species